rnacentral:rRNA from 1 species
GAUGAACGCUGGCGGCGUGCUUAACACAUGCAAGUCGAACGGGAAAUAUUUUAUUGAAGCUUCGGUUGAUUUAAUUUAUUUCUAGUGGCGGACGGGUGAGUAACGCGUGGGUAACCUGCCUUAUACUGGGGGAUAACAGCCAGAAAUGACUGCUAAUACCGCAUAAGCGCACAGAACCGCAUGGUCCGGUGUGAAAAACUCCGGUGGUAUAAGAUGGACCCGCGUUGGAUUAGCUGGUUGGCAGGGCAGCGGCCUACCAAGGCAACGAUCCAUAGCCGGCCUGAGAGGGUGAACGGCCACAUUGGGACUGAGACACGGCCCAGACUCCUACGGGAGGCAGCAGUGGGGAAUAUUGCACAAUGGGGGAAACCCUGAUGCAGCGACGCCGCGUGAAGGAAGAAGUAUCUCGGUAUGUAAACUUCUAUCAGCAGGGAAGAUAAUGACGGUAC